UGGGGAAUUUUCCGCAAUGGGCGCAAGCCUGACGGAGCAACGCCGCGUGAGGGAGGAAGGUCUGUGGAUUGUAAACCUCUUUUCUCUGGGAAGAAGAACUGACGGUACCAGAGGAAUCAGCAUCGGCUAACUCCGUGCCAGCAGCCGCGGUAAGACGGAGGAUGCAAGCGUUAUCCGGAAUUAUUGGGCGUAAAGCGUCCGUAGGCGGUUAAGUAAGUCAGCUGUUAAAGACCGGGGCUCAACCCUGGGAUGGCAGUUGAAACUGCGUGACUUGAGCGUGGUAGGGGUAGAGGGAAUUCCUAGUGUAGCGGUGAAAUGCGUAGAUAUUAGGAAGAACACCAGUGGCGAAGGCGCUCUACUGGGCCAUGACUGACGCUGAUGGACGAAAGCUAGGGGAGCGAAAGGGAUUAGAUACCCCCGUAGUCC
rnacentral:rRNA from 1 species